CAACCACCUCGGAAGCUUGCUCGCCUAAACAUUGACCCUCAUGUAUAAUAGCCUCUGUAUUUUAAACUCACGUCUGUCGUCCAGCUAGUUAUACCAUUUAAUUUAAUGUUUACAGUGUUAGCUGACAUCCCGGAAUAUGAGUUCACUAUGCUGUUCACCUGCUAAAGAAUCUCUGUGGCUGAAUGUUGUCGUGAAAGAGGAGAAGGAAGCGGAGGUUGUUACAGUGAAACAAGAAGUAGAGGAAGAGGAGGUUGUUACAGUGAAACAAGAAGUAGAGGAAGAGGAGGUUGUUACAGUGAAACAAGAAGAAGAGGAAGAGGAGGCUGUUACAGUAAAACAAGAAGUAGAAGGUGAGGCUGUUACAGUGAAACAAGAAGAAGACGCUUUCAGAGUGAAAGAGGAAGAGGUGGAACGAGAGAUGACUGUCACAUCGAAAGAAGAGGAGAAGAUAGGAGAUCUGAUUAACACCAAGUCCCGGGUCGUACCUCUUCUGGUAUCACCUUACUGCUGGGUCUGAAGAGGGUGUCUGUGAGGCUGGUGGACUGCAGGAAAACACUGAGGCGGAGUGGAACUACAAGAGGAGGACAAGAGGAGGAAGAGGGAGAUUUGACACAUCAAAGAGAGAGACGGGACUAUCGUGGAUCCUCUGGGGAGCCUCAACAACCUCAUGAUGCUGACGAGGCAGAGAAGAGUCUCACCAGAGAAAGAAUCCACACAGGAGAAAAGCCAUACCACUGCUCUCAGUGUGGAAUGACUUUCUCUGAAUCACAUUCAUUGAAAUCACACCUUAGAAUUCACACAGGAAAUAAAUCUUAUGGCUGUGAUCAAUUUGGGAAGAGAUUUACUCAGCCAAGCAACAUGAAAUCACACCAACAGACACACACUGGAGAGAAACCUCACCACUGUUCAGAUUGUGGAAAAAGCUUUUCAACGUCAAAGUAUUUGAAGCUGCACCAGCGGAUACACACAGGACUGAAGCCUUAUA